ACACCGUUGGUGAAGUGGUUAUCAUGCAUCAGAACACUAAAUCGUCGGGUGAGCUUGAAGCAGGUCGGGUUCGAUUCCCGGACGGUGUA
rnacentral:tRNA from 1 species